ensembl:lncRNA
GUCAGAGAAUCCAAAAAGUCCCAGUUAUGUUUUAGACCCAAGUACAUAAUAAAUAGACAUUUCAACGAUGAACGAAUGAGAAAAUGAGUGAAUGAAUGACCAAUGGAGGCCUUCUGAGAAUCUGGGAGUCAUUUGUUUUAAUUCAUCAGGGUAUUUCUGGGAAAAUCUGCCCCAUAUAAGUUAUAUUAGUUUCCCAGGGCUGCCAUAACAAAUUACCACAAACCGGGUGGCUUAACACAACAGAAAUUUAUUCUCUCACAAUUCUUUAUUUUUAAUUUAAUUAUAUCUGCAACGACCCUAUUGCCAAAUAAGAUCACAGUUACAGGUACCAGGGAUUAGAACUUGGAUAUAUCAUUUUGGGGUCUAUCAUCCAACCCACUAUACCAGUGAAAAUCACUCAUACUGUGGUCCAUACUUGUGUCCUGCAAUACAAGUGAAUGACUUUUUCCACAUCUACUUUUGCUUUCCAGCAGACAGUAGGAUUCUAUUUGGGCAGUGCAAGUGUGGCUUUGACUUUCCACCAAUGCCACCAUCAAUCAUGAGGAACACACCCAUCACCGCACCGACAGUAAUGAGGUCAUAUGAGGUGUCUAGACUUUGCAUGAUAAUAAGCGAAGGAAAAUUACAAGUAGAAUAUUCUGAGAGGCACAGUCAUCAAAUAAACGGAGAUGCAAAAAAUGACACUCUUUGAAAAUACAGAGAAACAACAGGCACAAGAGGAGAUUCCUUCCUUGUUAGCUCAAUGGUUUUUCCUGAUAUUGAAAUUUUUUAGAAUAGUCAAAUUUCUCAAAAGCAUCUAUUACAAAAGUGAAGUGAGAAAAACCUUGUUCCUCAGCAAAUACAUAUAACCAUAGCUUCUGAACUGAAUGAACCCACCAAAAUAUACAUUUUUUCCAAUAUAGCAUCUUCUGGCGAGCAUGACGGCCUUGUUUCUUCUCACUGAAUUGUGACGCAGUGUCUGGGCACCACGCAGUUCAUCGUGCUGAGCAUCUGUAUGGGCACCAGCUGCUUACCAUGCUCAUUCCAGUCUGAAGAGGGUCCACACAGUCCAACAGGAUUCCUCCAUGAAUAAUAAUAAUUGUUUCUUGUCUAUUCCUUUUUUCUGCUGGGUUAAAUCCCUUCUUUGUGAGGAAUGGCCUUUGUGUUUAAACGAAAAACUUUAUCAAAUAUACACAAAUAUAUAGGCCAUCAUCACAACAGCCAUCAUCAAGAUUUUAGAACUAUCAAUAUUUUGCCAUACUUACGUAAUCUAUUCUUUUUUUUGCUGAAAUAUUUUAAAGAAAAUCCUAGACAUCAUGCCAUUUUAUUUCUACAUACUCUGGAAUGAAUCUCUAAAAAUUAUAGACGUUUUCUUACAUACCAUACACAAUACCAAUAGCAUACCCAACAAUAAUUUUUCAGUAUCAUCUAACACCCAGUCUGUAUUCAAAUUUCCCUGAUUAGCUCAAAAAUGUCUUUUCAUGGUUUUGGUUUGUUUAAAUCAGGAUCCAAAUAAGACCCACAUACUAAAUUGGAUUGUUGUGUCUUUUCAAUCUCCUUUAGUACAGAGUUUCCAGCAGUGGCAUUAUUAACAUUUUGGAGCAGUUAAUUCUUGUGGGGGGUUGUCUUGUGAUUGUAGAAUGUUUCGCAGCAUCCUUGGCCUCUCCUUCCUAGAUUCCAGUAGCACUUCUCACAUUGUGACAAUCAAAAAUGUCUCCAGACACUGUUAAAUGUCCCCCUGAGGACAAAAUCAUCUCUGGUUGAGAACACUGAUCUAGUACAGUCCUCCUUCUUUUUUUGUAUGGUGUUGACUUACAGAAUAAAUUAGACGCGCUGUCUUGUAGAAUGUCCCACAUUCUGAAUUUGUCUGCUCCCUCAUGGGAUCAUCUAACUUAUUCCUCUAUCCCUUUUUCCUCUCAUUGGAAAGUAGGUGAAGAGAGGAAACUAGUUGAAGAGAGUCUUGGUUAGGCUCAAUAUUUCUGACAAAAAAUAAUUCAAAGUUGGCGCCAUAUAUUGUACUUCAUAUUGUAUCAAAUCAGGAAGCCAGCCUGUCUCACUGUUGCGUUUUGAGUGAUGCUAAGAUUGAUCAGUAGGUUCAUGUGUUGACAGUCUGAUCCCUCCCUUGUAAAGUUCUCCAGCAACUUUUUCUCUAGUGGUUUCAUCCACUGAUGAGCCUUGUCUCUAUCAACUAUUUCAUUUGGUUGAAAACGGAAGAUUUUCUAAUUCUAUCUUUGCUUUAUAUUUAUUUACUGAAGUUCUUUUGUAUAGCUCAUUCUGGAAAGACAGGAUAAAUUCUUAAUUAUUUUUAAUUGCCAAUUUUCAAAAUAAGCACUUGUACCCUAGGUUUCAAUAGUGACCAAUGUGUGUAAAUAGUGUGUGCUUGCUUUCUCUUGUUUGCUUUUUGAUUCUGUAAUAUUAUGAACUCAUGAAUUUUUAUAUAGUCAACCUAUUUUAACCUAAUACAGUCAUUAUUCUAUUUGACGUUCACUUUUUCUCCUGUAUUUGGCCAAUGGGAGCUUCUUUUAUUCUAUUUUUUCCAAAUAAGAAAAUUCAGUAGUUCUUUCAUGAGGGUCUGGACAGAAAUUGCCUUAGUCUUCAAAUGUCUGAAGAAAUCUUUAUUUUGACUUCCUUAUUAAUUAAGGGUACAUAUAGAUUUUAUAACUAUACUAUUAUUUUUCCUCAGCACUUUGAGGAUAUUAAUCCAUUGUCUUCUGAAAUCUACUGUUUUGAUGAGGUGUCUAUCGUCUUUCAGAUGUCAUUCUCUUUCAGGAAUUUUCUCUCUUCUCUCUGUUAAUUAAAAAAAAAAUUAACUUUAUUUUUUUAGAGCAAUUUAGAUUUACAGUGCAAAGUACAGAGAGUUCCCAUAUAUCCCCUGUCCUCACACACCCGCAACCUCCUCUACUAUUGACAUCCACACCAUGAGGUACAUUUCUU